AACGCACAUUGCGCCCUUUGGUAUUCCUUAGGGCAUGCCUGUUCGAGCGUCAAUUCAAACCCUCAAGCUAUGCUUGGUGAUGGACCUACCCGACCAGCGGCGCGUUCUUUCGCCCGCUGGACGGGUUCGCCCCAAAUACAUUCGGCGGUUUAGCACAAACGUUCGAGCGCAGCAGAAACGCGAACUCGGGUGUGAGUGCUGAGCUCCCAGCAAACAAUCUGAAAUUUGACCUCGGAUCAGGUAGGGAUACCCGCUGAACUUAA
rnacentral:misc_RNA from 1 species